rnacentral:rRNA from 1 species
GAUGAACGCUGGCGGCGUGCCUAAUACAUGCCAGUCGAGCGAACAGACGAGGAGCUUGCUCCUCUGACGUUAGCGGCGGACGGGUGAGUAACACGUGGAUAACCUACCUAUAAGACUGGGAUAACCUCGGGAAACCGGAGCUAAUACCGGAUAAUAUAUUGAACCGCAUGGUUCAAUAGUGAAAGACGGUUUUGCUGUCACUUAUAGGUGGAUCCGCGCCGCAUUAGCUAGUUGGUAAGGUAACGGCUUACCAAGGCAACGAUGCGUAGCCGACCUGAGAGGGUGAUCGGCCACACUGGAACUGAGACACGGUCCAGACUCCUACGGGAGGCAGCAGUAGGGAAUCUUCCGCAAUGGGCGAAAGCCUGACGGAGCAACGCCGCGUGAGUGAUGAAGGUCUUCGGAUCGUAAAACUCUGUUAUUAGGGAAGAACAAAUGUGUAAGUAACUAUGCACGUCUUGACGGUACCUAAUCAGAAAGCCACGGCUAACUACGUG